UAAUAGGAAAUCAAGAGUAUAUGGUGGAUGCCUAGACUUUAGAAGGCGAUGAAGGACGUAGCAUGGCGACGAUAUGCUUCGGGGAGGUGCCUAGCAACCUUUGAUCCGAAGAUUUCCGAAUGGGGGAACCUAAUUCCGGUAACACGGAAUUGCCUGCGAUCAAUCGCAGAGCGUGCACCCUGGGAAGUGAAACAUCUCAGUACCAGGAGGAAAAUAAACUAAUCAGUAUUCCCUUAGUAGCGGCGAGCGAAAAGGGAGAAGCCCAAACCGGUCGUGCCUCACUGAACGUGAGUCACUUAAAUUAAAAAUUAAAAAUAGAAAAUUAAAAAUUGAUGAGUCCGCCACAGCGGACACAAAAUCUUUUAUCCUUUAUUUUUGAUCUUUGAUUUGGAGCGAUUUCGCGAGUAGCGAGGCGCGACUGGGGUUGUAAGGCAGAGACGUAGUUUACUAGGAAAGUUACAAAAGAUUUUGUUAAGCGAAAUUGCUGGGAAGCAAUGCCACAGAAGGUAAUGGCCCUGUAGCUGAAAAUAAAAUCUCUUUCUUGUCUCUGAUCUUGAGUACCUCGAGGAACGACAGCCUUGAGGGAAUCCGCCGGCACUAACCGGCAAGGCUAAAUACUUCUAGAGAUCGAUAGUGAACUAGUACCGUGAGGGAAAGGUGAAAAGUAGCCCGAUGAGGGCGUUGAAAUAGAACCUGAAACCAUAUACUUACAAGGAGUCGGAACGGAGCAAUCCGCGACGGCGUGCCUAUUGAAGAAUGAGCCAACGAGUUUAUGCUUAUUGCUUGAUUAAUCCGCGAUGGCGGGUAGUCGAAGGGAAACCGAGUAUUAAUAGUGCGUUUUCUUGUUUUUUAAAUCCGAGCUCGUGCUUUCGAGCCUGGAUUUAAGAAACUUGAAAGGUAUUAAGCAUAAGACCCGAAGCCAGGUGAGCUUGCCAUGAGCAGGGUGAACCAAACAGAAAUGUUUGGGGAGGCCCGAACCGAUAAGCCGUGCAAUACUUUCGGAUGACUUGUGGUAAGGAGUGAAAAGCUAAUCGAACCUGGUAAUAGCUGGUUCUCUCCGAAA
rfam:Parcubacteria bacterium GW2011_GWB1_42_9 TV50_C0023, whole genome shotgun sequence.